GCCAGCAUGGUGUAGUGGUUUGAGUGUGGGACUAUGAAUUUGAAGACCAUGGUUUGAAUCCAUGCUUGGCC